rnacentral:rRNA from 1 species
AACACCUACGGGGCGCAGCAGUAGGGAAUCUUCCACAAUGGGCGCAAGCCUGAUGGAGCAACACCGCGUGAGUGAAGAAGGGUUUCGGCUCGCAAAGCUCUGUUGUUGGAGAAGAACGUGCGUGAGAGUAACUGUUCACGCAGUGACGGUAUCCAACCAGAAAGUCACGGCUAACUACGUACCAGCAGCCGCGGUAAUACGUAGGUGGCAAGCGUUAUCCGGAUUUAUUGGGCGUAAAGCGAGCGCAGGCGGUUGCUUAGGUCUGAUGUGAAAGCCUUCGGCUUAACCG